UGGGGAAUUUUGGACAAUGGGCGCAAGCCUGAUCCAGCAAUGCCGCGUGCAGGAUGAAGGCCUUCGGGUUGUAAACUGCUUUUGUACGGAGCGAAAAGGCUUCCACUAAUACUGGGGGCUCAUGACGGUACCGUAAGAAUAAGCACCGGCUAACUACGUGCCAGCAGCCGCGGUAAUACGUAGGGUGCAAGCGUUAAUCGGAAUUACUGGGCGUAAAGCGUGCGCAGGCGGUCUUGUAAGACAGGUGUGAAAUCCCCGGGCUUAACCUGGGAACUGCACUUGUGACUGCAAGGCUGGAGUACGGCAGAGGGGGAUGGAAUUCCGCGUGUAGCAGUGAAAUGCGUAGAUAUGCGGAGGAACACCGAUGGCGAAGGCAAUCCCCUGGGCCUGUACUGACGCUCAUGCACGAAAGCGUGGGGAGCAAACAGGAUUAGAUACCCUGGUAGUCCACGCCCUAAACGAUGUCAACUGGUUGUUGGGUCUUCACUGACUCAGUAACGAAGCUACGCGUGAAGUUGACCGCCUGGGGAGUACGGCCGCAAGGUU
rnacentral:rRNA from 1 species